rnacentral:rRNA from 1 species
GACGAACGCUGGCGGCGUGCUUAACACAUGCAAGUCGAACGGAAAGGCCCUGCUUUUGUGGGGUGCUCGAGUGGCGAACGGGUGAGUAACACGUGAGUAACCUGCCCUUGACUUUGGGAUAACUUCAGGAAACUGGGGCUAAUACCGGAUAGGAGCUCCUGCUGCAUGGUGGGGGUUGGAAAGUUUCGGCGGUUGGGGAUGGACUCGCGGCUUAUCAGCUUGUUGGUGGGGUAGUGGCUUACCAAGGCUUUGACGGGUAGCCGGCCUGAGAGGGUGACCGGCCACAUUGGGACUGAGAUCCGGCCCAGACUCCUACGGGAGGCAGCAGUGGGGAAUAUUGCACAAUGGGCGGAAGCCUGAUGCAGCAACGCCGCGUGCGGGAUGACGGCCUUCGGGUUGUAAACCGCUUUCGCCUGUGUCGAAGCGUGAGUGACGGUAAUGGGUAAAGAAGCACCGGCUAACUCCG